rnacentral:lncRNA from 1 species
CUUCUGAGUUUUACAGGUNNNNNNNNNNNNNNNNNNNNNNNNNNNNNNNNNNNNNNNNNNNNNNNNNNNNNNNNNNNNNNNNNNNNNNNNNNNNNNNNNNNNNNNNNNNNNNNNNNNNNNNNNNNNNNNNNNNNNNNNNNNNNNNNNNNNNNNNNNNNNNNNNNNNNNNNNNNNNNNNNNNNNNNNNNNNNNNNNNNNNNNNNNNNNNNNNNNNNNNNNNNNNNNNNNNGAAUGAAAAGUAUUUCUGCUCCUGCUACCUUGGGUUCUUUAGACAGAAGAAGAAUAAAAUGCAAAUAGUUAGGUCAGUUGAGGGAGUGUGAGUCGUUGGUUUGUUGGAUGCUGUAGGAGCAGAAAAAAAAUGUGGUUUUGUUGGAUGCUGGUUCUGCUGUUGGUGUUUUGUUUUGACAGAAAGUGUGGGAUGCAAUAACGAAUUUGAUGAUUGAUGCUAGAUGGUUUGAGUGGAAUGGUGAUUGUUUGCUGCUAAGUAAACUUGGAAGAAAUGGCCAAAAUGCAGUGUGUGGCUUUUGGAGAUUUGUAGUAAGUUGGUUAGUUUUUUUUUUAGAAAAAUCCAAGGGUGUUUGUGGUCUUGUUGGAAGGUAUGGUUGAGCUAGCUAGUUCAAGUAAGGUUACUGCAGGUUCUUUGGUACUGCUGCAGGCAACUGAUUUUUCUGUUUUGUUAAUGCCCCAAAAACCUGUUUUCAAACCCUGCUCUUAACUGUUGUUUGUGAUGGCAAGGCAUGGUAUAGGGUUGUGGCAUUGUGCAGCCAGUAGUUCUCAAAAAAUGACUGGAAAAUGUGAUCCACAAAAUCUGCUUUGUGAUGUGGUGAAAGCAUGGUUGUGGAAGUAUGGUGUGGAAUGGUGUAAUUGUACUUUUACUCUCCAAUUUUUAGGCAAUUAGGACAUGGCCAUAUGUACCAUUGAUUUUUGGCUGCAUAAUGAGGCUCUAAGGACAGAAGAAAGGCUGCAUAAUUGCUGUCCUUUUGAGGUACAAGGCAAGGCAUGGACAAGCAUGGUGCAAUGGUACUUUUCUUACAAUUCAAGCAACCAAACAAGAUUCACAUGUUCUGCAUAAUUUGACCUUGCAAACACCUUCUAAAUGACAUUUAUGAGCUGUUCCAAUUGGCCAAAUGCUGAAAAAAUGUUUGAGUCAAAAAGUCAACUCUUGGUCAAACUUACAUUUAAAUGAAAAAGGUCAAAAUAUGCCAUUUUGAUUGGUAAAGUUUUAGGUCAUGAAAUUUAUAUUUUUGGAAAGAGGAUGAAAAAUGUGACUUGUAGGAAAAAACCCCACCAAAAUUGGCCAAACGGUUUGAGAGAUAUGGCCUUUUGAAGUUCAAGAUUUUCUGAAAUCGAUUCGAUCAUAACUUGCCAACCAUACAUGGGAAUUGAGAGUUCUAGGACUUUUUGGAAAUGGGAGAACAAGAUCUUCAACUUUCAUGUUGGGCAAAAAUUCAUUUGAGGCUUGUAUCAAAAUGUAAGUUUGAGGAUCAAGACUUUCCAUUUAUGGCAGGUUUCAGUUACAGGCCCAGUUUCCAUUUUGGGAAAUUCAUGAUCUGGCUUCAAAUUCUUCCAUGAUGGUGUUUGGCAUGAUAUAUGAUGACUAUUUGGACAUGAAUGAACUCUCACAAACCAAAUCCAAUCAUCCAAUCACUGAUUAAAUGGACAGUUGACCAACAGUUGACUAUUAGGGUUUUUGUCUGAUUAUGCAUUAACUGAUGACUUCCAAACCCUAAUUCCUUGAGAAUUUGACUUCAAAUGAUGUCCCAAGUUGUAUGAACUCUUGAUUAUUGAUCAUGGUGCCCAAAUUCCACAAGAAUGACCACCAUCCACUACUUUGACUGAUAGUUGACUUUUCUAGGGUUUUUGACUGUCUGUGUAUGAACUGCUGACCUCUGAGCCCUCAACCCUUGACAUGAACUCUUCAAAUAGACCUCCAAGUCAUGUGAACUUGUUGGACAAACCCCAAGGCCUUGAUUCAAUGAGAAAUUCCUUUGCUUGCUUGGUUGACUGAUCAGGAGAUUAGUUUGGCCUAAUUCUUGAUUGCUUGCACUUGAGGCAACUGGGAACAAUACAAAUGUUAUGCAAUGGACCAUGAUAUGUUAUGACCUAAUAUGAAAAUGUACGCAUAAUGAUAGGUGCAAAUUUGAGGUGCUACAAUGAGCAGAUUCGAAGAAAUUAAAAUGUGAAGUAAACCUAUGAUUUGCUGAGUUUGAGAGCAUAAUUCCUUGCUAUGGAUGCUUGCAGUUUGUUCUUUAGAUCAAAGGGAAGAAGGCUAAGGAACUUUAGAUCCAGAAAACAAUCAAUGAAAUUGAAUUCUAGAUCUGAAAAAUUUAGAGAAAGUUGGUGAGUUCCUUUGAUAGUGAGGGUGAGGAUUCAAUUGCACAGCAUUUAGGGCGCCUUCAGGUUGCUGAAAUGAGAGGCCUUGGCAUUGUAUUUAUAGGAGAAAGCAUCUGAUAUGCAUGAACAUUCCCUUGCAUGAAUGGAAAGGGCCUCCAUACAUGGGCCUGUCCAAGCGCAUGGAGGGCCCAAUUCCACUUGGAUUUGGUAGCUGAACAAUGAUAGAAGCAAAUUGGAAUGAUACAGGUUUAGCUCAUGCAAUGCAAAUUAAUUGAUUUUCCAAAAUUGCACCAAUGUGUUCAUGUCUUCGAAAAUGCCAUGUCCAAACUUGAAACACCACCUCAUGAGUAAUGGUUGGAAAUAUUUUUGCAUGAGGAUCAUUUGUUAUGUUGAUCACAACUCCAUUUGAAACUUGGAAAUUGAUGAAAAGUGGUCAUGAAGUGUAGGGUGCAAAACAUGUACAUGUGAGAAUUUCAAAAAUAGCCAAAGUUCAAGCCCCUCUGUCUCAAUGAUGCAAGCUCCAAACGAUAAAAUCUUCAACAUCAAAGUUGUAAAUCGUUUCAAGGAAAAAAAAUUGGACUUAAAUUUUGCAUCAUUUGGAUUUUUGAUGAAGAAGUUAUGGGCACUUGAAGUUGGACUUUUUCACAUUUCAAUGCCUUUGGUCCAAAGUGACCUAUAAUGUUUUACAUUAUCACAUGUAUUUCUUUUAGGAUUUUGAAAUUUUGCUCAACAUAACAUUUGAAGUAGACAUAUUAAGAUUUAAAAUUCAUUUGAUCCCACCUCAAAAUCAUGAAAAAUGAAGGAGUUAUGUCCUUGGGAAGUUGACCCAAAAUUAGGGUUUUAGUCAAAAUGACCUAUAAUGUCUUGGAAUGGAUGAUGACGUUCCAAGCAUCAAAUAAAUUUUUGAUGAACAUUAAAGUUGUUCAUAUGGUUCUUAAGAACAUUUUGUCUCUUGGGGUCAUCUCCAUUUGACAAACACAUCAAAAGUUAGGUCUCAGUGUAUUUCAAAAUAGUGAGAUGAAUUGAUUGAUCAACUUCUCAAGUCCAAACCUCAUAUCUUGAUGAAUUGAUGAUUGAGGAUACUCAAAUAAGUUCAAAUAUGCAUGAAAUGAUGAAUGAAAAAACUUCCCUUGAUUGUAUUUGAUCAUGGAUUGAGGUUGCUUCAUGAGCAAGGCACAGUUGAUGAACAGAUGAAUUAGGGUUUCCUUGGGAAACAAGCCUCAAGUCCCUUCAUUUACUUUGAUAAAAAUGAUGAAUUGAGAUAAUUGGGAGGCAUAUUUGAUGGAUGAGAUCUUUGGGAACCAUUUCCAUGCUUUCUUUCAUCUUCUCUUGGCCAUAUCAAUGCACAUAAGAUCUUGUGACUGCUCAAGCUACAAACAAGAGAUGUUAGUGACAUAUUUUUGUGCUUUUGGUUAGUAAACAAAAUAAGAAAAGAAAUAAUAUACAAUUAAAUCGUGCUUGGUGAUCUCAAACCAACUCACAAAAGUUCCCACCCAAAGGUAAGGAGCCAAGAUGAUAUGAUCCUUGAGGCAAGAUGCAAAUGCAAUGUUAUGAUGCCAUGAGGGAUCUUAGGGUCAAAAUUAGGGUCCUACAGGUUGGAUUCUAAGAUUGUGGAGCAUAGAUUGCCGUUGAAGCCAUAAUGUCUUCCAGUCAAGCAGAAAUUGAGAAGAACGCAUCCUGAUAUGGCUGUGAAGAUCAAAGAGGAAGUGCAAAAGCCGAUUGAUGUUGGUUUCCUUGUGACCAUUGAGUAUCCGCAAUGGGUGGCCAAUAUUGUGCUUGUACAAAAGAAAUAUGGAAAAGUCCGCAUGAGUGUCAAUUAUAGAGAUUUGAAUAAAGUCAAUCCGAAAGAUGACUUCCCUCUGCCACACAUUGAUAUGUUGGUAGACAAUACUGCUAAAUUCAAGGUCUUUUCAUUUAUGGAUGGGUUUUCGGGAUAUAAUCAGAUCAAGAUGGCACCCGAAGAUAUGGAGAAGACCACAUUCAUUACACCCUAGGGAACAUUCUGUUAUAGAGUGAUGCCUUUCGGUCUAAAGAAUGCUGGUGCAACUUACCAGAGAGAACCCUAGGGAACAUUCUGUUAUAGAGUGAUGCCUUUCGGUCUAAAGAAUGCUGGUGCAACUUACCAGAGAGCAAUGACUACUCUUUUUCAUGAUAUGAUGCAUAAAGAGAUUGAAGUAUAUGUCGAUAACAUGAUUGCUAAAUCAAUUAAUGAAGAGGAACAUAUUGAGCAUUUAUUGAAGUUACUCAAGCGUUUGUGGAAGUAUAAACUUCGCUUGAAUCCCAAUAAGUGUACUUUUGGUGUUCGUUCUAGUAAGUUAUUGGGCUUUAUUGUCAGCGAGAAGGGUAUUGGAGUUGAUCCUGCCAAGGUCAAAGCAAUACAAGAGAUGCUUGCGCCCAAAACUAAGAAGCAAAUCAGAGGCUUUCUCGGCCGCUUGAAUUAUAUUUCUAGAUUGAUUUCCCACAUGACUACCACAUGUGCACCUAUAUUCAAGCUUCCUCAGAAAGAUCAGUCUUGUGAUUGGACCGAAGACUGCCAGAAAGCUUUUGACAGUAUCAAAGAAUAUUUGCUUAAACCUCUGAUUUUGUCUCCACCUGUUGAAGGAAGACCAUUGAUCAUGUAUUUGAUUGUGCUCGAAGAUAGUAUGAGUUGUGUCCUUGGUUAGCAAGAUGAGAUUGGAAAGAAAGAAUUUGCAAUUUACUACCUCAGUAAGAAGUUCACCGACUGUGAGACUCGGUAUUCUAUGCUUGAGAAGACUUGUUACGCAUUGGCUUGGGCUGCUAAGCGUCUGCGCCAGUAUAUGUUGAAUCAUACCACUUGGCAGAUGUUAUUGUCAGAGUAUGAUAUCAAAUACCGAUAUCAGAAAACAAUCAAAGGUGGUAUCUUGGCUGACCAUUUGGCUCACCAACCAAUUGAAGAUUAUCAGUCUGUGCAGUAUGAUUUUCCUGAUGAAGAGAUUUUGUACUUGAAAAUGAAAGAUUGUGAUGAAUCAUUGCUUGAAGAAGGGACAGAACCUGGUUCUCGUUGGGGAAUGGUAUUUGAUGGAGCUGUUAAUCAAUAUGGAAAUGGAAUUGGGGCCAUGAUUAUUACUCCUCAAGUCACACAUCUAUCAUUAACAUCUAGAUUGACUUUCAAGUGUACAAACAACAUGGAAGAAUAUGAAGCUUGCAUUAUGGGGCUUGAAGAGGCCAUGAAUCUCAGAUUCAAGUAUUUGGAUGUCUUCGGUGAUUCGACUUUGGUUAUGAAUCAUAUCAAAGGAAAAUGGGAGACAAAUCAACCUGGUUUAGUACCAUAUAGAGAUUAUGCGAGAAGGAUUUCAACUUUCUUUACAAAGGUUGAAUUUCAUCAUUUCUCUCGAGAUGAGAACCGGAUGGCAGAUGCUCUUGCAACGUUGGCGUCAAUGAUUGUAGUGAAGUAUUGGAAUGAAGUUCCCAAUGUAUAUAUGAUGCGUCUUGAUAGGCCAGAUCAUGUGUUUGUUAUUGAAGAGAUUAAAGACGAGAAGCCGUGGUAUUACGACAUCGAAUGUUUCCUCCAAAGUCAAAAUUACCCGCCUGGGGCAUCUUUGAAAGAUAAGAAAACUUUGAGAAGAUUAGUCGGCAAUUUCUACUUGAAUGGUGAUAUAUUAUACAAGAGAAACUUCGACAUGGUUUUGCUCAGAUGCGUGGAUAGACACGAAGCAGACUUGUUGAUGACUGAAGUGCAUGAAGGUUCCUUUGGUACUACUACUUGAAUGGUGAUAUAUUAUACAAGAGAAACUUCGACAUGGUUUUGCUCAGAUGCGUGGAUAGACACGAAGCAGACUUGUUGAUGACUGAAGUGCAUGAAGGUUCCUUUGGUACUCAUUCCAAUAGACAUGCAAUGGCGAAGAAGAUGUUGCGAGCAGGUUACGAUUGGCUGACAAUGGAAUUUGACUGUUGCAAAUUUGUGAAGAAGUGCCACAAGUGUCAAAUUUAUGCUGAUAAGAUUCAUGUUCCUUUGACACUAUUGAAUGUUAUCUCUUCCCCAUGGCCCUUCUCCAUAUGGGGAAUUGAUAUGAUUGGGAUGAUUGAGCCCAAAGCUUCGAAUGAACAUCGUUUCAUUUUAGUGGCAAUUGACUACAUCACGAAAUGGGUUGAAGCGGCAUCAUAUGCAAAUGUGACCAAGAAGGUUGUUGUAAGGUUUAUCAAGAAUCAGAUUAUAUGUCGUUAUGGUGUGCCAAGAAAGAUCAUUACUGAUAAUGGAUCGAACUUGAAUAACAAUAUGGUGGAAGCUCUUUCCAAAGACUUCAAGAUUGCACAUCAUAAUUCUUCUCUCUACAGACCCAAGAUGAAUGAGGUUGUUGAAGCUGCGAAUAAGAAUAUUAAGAAGAUUAUCCAGAAGAUGGUUUUCAUGUAUAAGGAUUGGCAUGAGAUGCUCCCUUUUGCUUUGCAUGGGUAUCGUACAUCCAUCUGCACUUCAACAGGGGCAACCCCCUUCUCUCUUGUUUAUGGUAUGGAAGCGGUGCUCCCCGUAGAGGCUGAGAUUCCUUCAUUGCGAGUGCUCAUGGAAGUCAAGUUGACUAAGGCUGUAUGGUGUCAGACCAGGUUUGAUCAGCUAAAUUUGAUUGAAGAGAAGAGGUUAACUGCCAUGUGUCAUGGUCAGUUAUAUCAAUAGAGAAUGAAGAAAGCUUUUGAUAAGAAGGUCAGACCUUGAGUGUUCAGAGAAGGUGACCUUGUGCUCAAAAAGAUUUUGACGUUCAAGCCAGAUUCCAGAGGAAAAUGGACUCCUAAUUAUGAAGGCUCAUAUGUUGUUAAGAGAGCCUUUUUAGGCGGUGCAUUAAUUCUUACAACUAUGGAUGGUGAAGAGUUCACUCGUCCUUUGAAUGCAGAUGCAGUUAAGAAAUACUUCGCCUAAAAAAAGAAAAGAACAACUCGAUAAGUUGAAAACCCGAAAGGGCGACUUAGGCAAAAAUGAGCAUCUCGGUGGAUUGAAAACCCGAAAGGGAGAUCUAGGCAAAAAUUAGAGACAUAAAAACAGAAAGAAUUUCCCGAUAAGUUAAGUACCCCACCUUGGGGCAACUUAUGCAAAAAUAUGGGAUUAUGGCAAGUAACUACAUUCUACUGAUCUUCAGAUUUUGAAGGCUUGUUUGAGCACAAGGGUUGACAUCAGUUUGUCCCCAACAACGGUCAAGAGCACAACAGAUAUCAAGAGAUGGUAGAAGGAUUAAGGAUCAUUUGUAUUAAAUGUAACCCUUUUCCAUGUAAAUUACCAUUUUUAACUUUGUAAAAAUCUAUGGAGUCUUGUCAUUUACAGACUACCAUUCCAUCAAAUAAAGUUGAGCUUUUAUCCAGUUAUUUCUACUCUUAUUUACUUCAGCCAAUAGUUUUAAAUUUUAUUAUGAUCAUUUUGAAAUUAAAAUUUUUUAUCAAAAAAAAAAUCAAGUUUUUUUUAAAAUAUAUAAAGCAUGAAUUUUUCAAAGCAAUUAAAAUGAGUAUCAACAGCAUUUCGAUGGAUAGCAAGUCCUUAAAUGCGAAACAUCAGAGGUUCCCCAAGCAAUUAACCCUUUGGGUAUCCCUAGACGUUUGUGUGGAUUUAGUUCCUCGACGGAGUGUUUGAUACUCAGUGGAAUUUCUUUCCUUUUCCCCAGCUGAGUUGGAUGAUCCAGAUACCCUACGGCAUGUUGUUUUCCUCGACAGAGUUUCUGCCUUCCCUAGCGAAGUUCGUAUUUCUUCAGCAAGGUUGAUCUUUAGAGGUGGUUGAUUUUCCCCCAUUAAAUCGCAUUGGUUUCCCCACCAAUCUCCAUUCAACUUGCUCCCAGUCAGAGUUUCCUCCUGGUUUCUGAGCAGCUUUUGUUAUGAUUUUUCUCUAUAGGAUUGUCUCCCAUUUUUAUGGUGUUGACCUAAAAUCCCCCGCAGAUUGGAUGUUCUGUCCUCAGCAGAUCUCCUCCUUCCCCAGCUAGGGUUGAGCCUUUGGGAUGUCGAUCUCUUUGUUCUCCAACAGUUGUCUCCAUAUUUUGUGGAUUGACCAAGGAUUGUACCGUUGGUUCAAAUUCUUUGUGACACCUUUGUAUCAUUUGUGAUCAUUUUGUCAACAUAAUCAUCAUAUAUACAUAUACAUAUAUAUUCGUAUAAUUUCAUAAUUUGCAUAUCCUGCAUCUUUAUAUUUGAUUUAUUUGAGAUUUUUAUUCUCUAUUAUGGAGGUAUUUUAUCCCCAUACCAAAUCUGGUGUCUGUCCUCCUUCAAUUGUAGAUUGUCAACCCCUUAAGCAGAAAGACUUUAACCUUUCUCCGUUUCCCCAUUGAGUUUGUUUCCUCGUGGAUGGUUGUUAUUUUAGUUUCCUCUCGAGAGGAUUUUCUGGAUGGAAUUACUCCCCUUGAGUUAUGUCCUCAUUGGGUUGUGUCUUAAUUGACUGUUUCUAUCUAGCUCUUACCUAGAUAGAUGCUUUGAGUCUCCUAAGAGUUGAUUGCCCAGUAACUGGUAAUAUUCUUCUUAGUUUGCCGUUUGUUACUUCUUGCCCAAUACCUGGAAAAAGUACCCCUGUUUUUCUCCUCAGUAGAGUCCCUAGUGGAUCUAUUCCCCAGUAAGUGUAUCCUUUAUAUGUUCACCCUAACCGGUGACGGAUAUCUUUCUUUCCCCUGCCGGAGUCUAUCCUUGAUAUGUUCACUUUAACCAGUGAUGGAUAUUCUCAUUUUUGGUAUUCUACCCAGUAAAAGGGUAUUUGUAAUCCAUAUUUUGUUCCCUAGAGAGUUAAUCCUUGAUAUGUUCAUCUUAACCGAUGACGGGUUUUCUUCUCCUUGUGGUUUUCUACCCAGUAACCGGGAGUUGUAAAUCCUACUUUAUCACCUUGCAGAGUCUAUCCUUUAUAUGUUCAUCCUAACCGGUGACGUAUUUUCUCUCCGACGGUUUUCUAUCCAGCUUUCGAUAAAUGUAAUUCCUAAUCAAUGACGGGUAUCCUCCUUGACAUUCCCGGGCAAGCCUAUCCUUGAUAUGUUCAUUUUAACCGGUGACGAAUUUUCUUCCCUGUCGAGUUUAUCCUUGAUAUGUUCAUCAUAACCGAUGAUAGAUACUCUCGCCUUUGGUCUUCUUCCCAGUAACUGGUAGUUGUAAAUCCUAUAUUUUCUGCAAUUUCCCCAGCAAGGUUAUUCUUACCCAGUAGUCGGUAAUGAAUUUCCUCUCCUGGAAUCCUCAGCGAGUCAUCCUUGAUAUGUUCAUCUUAACCGAUGACGAAUGUUCUCUCUGUCAGAUCUUUAUUAUCUCCUUACCCAGUAACAGGUAGUAGAUAAUAGAUUUAUGCUCCUCCUGUGUUGAAGUUUAUUGCUUCCCCAGUUAAGUUGAGUGUGCGUUUUUCCUUAGUGAAAUCGCUUUCCCCUGCAUGAUUCGAGUACUUCAGUUUUAUCCUGACCUACUCAUGUCUCUUGCAGAUGUUGUUGUUUCCCCAGCUGAGUCUUUCCAUGUUUGUAUGGAUGUCCUCGAGUCCUCCAACAAUUUUUAAGUCGUAGCCUGGCCUACGCAUAACCCCUCUUACCCCUCCCCAAGAGUCUUUGUCUCCCUAGUGAGUUUUCCUUACGGAAUGCAUUAUGCUCCUGUGGAUUUUCGGUCUCUCUGAUUCCUUUUUUCCUUUGUGGCAAUAUUUCCCACAGAGCAUUAACUUUUACAUUCAUAUCAUAUGCAUCAUGAGGUAUCUUAGUACCAAAAUUCGUUUCUCUAUGUUGUUAUUUAAGCCCAUUCUACUGAGUCGAGCCGAAGAUUUUAACCUUCACCUCCUUAGUUAGAAUGUCCUUAAAUAGGGGCAGUUGUAAGACCCCAAUUUUGACCCUAAGAUCCCUCAUGUAAUUUCAUCAUAAGUAUUAGCAUUGAGAUCAUACCUUGGCAUCCUCCUUACCCCUCUUUCAUUGGGUCUGUUUUAGGAGAGAUCACCAAGCACUUUGUGAUUGUAUCAUACUUGUAUUUUAUCAUUUCACUAACCAAAAUAUCAAAAAUAUGCCUUUACAUUUUCCUAACUCUUUUGUAGGAAGGGCAUGAUCUCCAUUGAUCUAUCAAGUUCACAUCUAAGGUUUGAGACCCUAAUGAACAAAGAGCACAACCAAGAAUCAAUCCAAGAAUGGUUAUGAGCAUCAUAUACGACUACCAAUGUUCUCUACAUGUUAUAUUGAUCAAGUUUUCUUCAAGAGUUUGAGGGUGAUUUGCCUUGGAAAUCCUAGUUUGACUGGGUAUCUUGAGUAACUUCUCCAACAAGCUAUCACACUAAUUGAUCAAAUUUCUAAAGGGACACUUCAAAAUUCAUCAUCUUAUUCAUAUAUGAUCUACCAUGAGCCAAGAAAUUCAAGAGAAUUGAAGGUUAGCAAGUUGGUUGAUGGUGGUUGGCCAGAUGGAUUCAUCUGAUCAAAACUAGGUCUCCCUAGACCCCAUCUCCUACAAUUUUCACCAUAUGAAAAUUAUUCCAAGAUAAAAUUUACUCUAAAUGACAUUCCAAACAACUUUCAUGUUGAGACCUAGAGGUAGGUUUGAAUGGAAAAUCAUUUUAUAUGUUGAAACAUUCUAGGUCAUUUUGUCUAAACCCUAAUUUGAAAGUCAACUUCCCCAGGCCAUAACUUGCUCUAUUUUUAUGAGAUGAAAUAUUUCCAAGUUUCACAAUCAAAUUCAAUGUGUCUACUUCAACUUUGAUGUUUAUAGUGGGAGAUAAUUCAACUUUUUUUAGCAUGUGAUAUGAGGUUACAUUAUAGGUUAUUUUGACCUAUACCAUUGAUCAAGUGAUUUUUCCAAAUUUCAAAAAUGCAUAACUAUAUCAUUUUAAAUCCAAAUGACAUUAAAUUGAUGAACAUUUUGAAGGUCUUUUAAAGAGAUACAACUUUGAUGAAGACACUUUUCUCAUUUGAAGCUUAUAUAAAAAGUAAAGCAAUGUGGAAUAUGGAGACAUAUGGCUUGACACUUAGAAAAAUUUUGAUAUGUCAAAAAUUUCCAAACUUCCACCUCAAAUUUCUUCAAGUUACAAACUCCAAACAGAAAAGUGUUGAACAUGAAAGUUAUUCCUCUUGAUCUGACCUUUCCAAAGACCUCAAAUUCAUUCAUUUUGGAUAAGGAAUGCAUAGGCUGCACAUGGCAUGAACAUGGUGUCAUCAUUUGGAAAAGAUCAAACUUCAAAUCCAAAUGUACACUUGACUUGCAAUCCAAGCUGAAUUCAGCCUAUCUCACACUCAUUUGUGGACUUAUGGCAAUGAUUUUAUGGGCCUAUGCGCUCCCAUGCACCCAUGCAUCAUCAAAGACCAAAUUUGGAAAGUGAAUUCAAGUGUGCAAAAAGCAAUGGAUUCAGCUAUAAAUAGAGCCUCAUAUGCUCAGCAUUUCGGACACAUUCGCGUCAGCUUUGAUCCCAUAACUCUAACCCUCACAUUGCAAAGGAUAAACCUGAGAAAUUCACUUGAAUUUGAGUUUGAAUUUCCAAUGUUUUGAAAUUCAAAUCUCCAGGAAUCCAUAGCCUUUUGAGCAUUCAAUCCUUCUUCUGCAAGCAUUUGGAGUGAGAUCAAGCACGAACAAGAGCAAGAUCAAUUGAAUCCAGACCUCCAUUGAAGGUAUUUUCCAGAAUUUUUGAUCUCUCCGAUUCUCUCUAAUUCUUACUCAAUUCUAUUGAUUCUUUGGUUGUCUGAAGUCCUACCAAUGUAGGCAAGAAGAUUGAGUUGCUUUGAGGCCAAAUCGAAGCAACUAAAUUAAUGUACCUCAAAUUUCAACUCCAUGUAUCUCUCAAUAUACUUGGAGUUAAAGUGAAUUGAGGCUAGAUUCAAACUCAGUGCCAUUUUUACUUUGAAAUCAUGUCCUUGUUUAUAAUUUUGGUUAUGGUUGAAGGUGGACCAGUCCGGUGAGGUCCACCGGAGAAGAAGGUCGGAGCUACAGCUCCGCCCAUGUGAUCCUCUUGAUUUGUUUUAAUCUGGAGCGUGCAUUUUAAUUACCAAUGUUAUGGCGCGCUGACUUGAGUUCAUCGUGGAUAACAUGUUUCUGGCCACUUGAUUUGCCACCUCAAUUAAUGAGGGAGAUCAAGUGGUCCACGUUUUUUCUGAUAUUUUAUUUUCAUUUUAGUUGCAUUAUUUUUAAUAAAACAUAUUAAAUUCAAUAUUGAUCCAAAAAAUAAAGGGACUUUCACCAAAAAAUUUCAAAUAUUUUUCUCUUUCAUAUUCUGAAUUAAAAUUAUUUUUUGGAUCAUUAUUAAUAUUUUUCAUGAAUUAAUUGAUUUUGCAUUUGUUUUUAAUUGUUUAAAAAAUUUGGAUCAUUAUUAAUAUUUUUCAUGAAUUAAUUGAUUUUGCAUUUGUUUUUAAUUGUUUAAAAAUAUUUUUAAAUGUCCAAAAAUUAUGAUUUUUUUUCUCCAAGGUCCUUUGACCUUGUUUGACAUAUGAUAAAUCUCAUGGCCAUUUCUUUGGUGUUUUGAUGAGAUUUUAGGAAUUGGACAAACCAUAUUUAAUUUAAAUGCACUAUUUUCGUAUUUUAAUUUGAAUAAAUGCCAAAUAAAGUUGUUGACCAAUUGUGAUGACUUGUUUAUGUUUGAAUCUUGUUGUUGGGCCUUGGUCAAGGUUGAUUUGACUUUGUUGACCAAUUGAUGGAAUGUAAAUUCCAUCUCCCAAAAUGAAUGGAUGAUAUUAAUAUGGUAAAAGUCCUCCUUUGAUCAAUUUGUGUUUUGAUCCAUUCCCCUCCCACUUCAUCUUACCCCCUUUACUCAUUCAUUCAUUCCAUUUGGCCUAUGAUAUCUCAUAAUCCUAAGGCUAGUUGAUUGAAAAUUUGACAUGAGUAUGGAUGAGAUUAGGCCACAACUUUUGCAUAUUCUUUUUGUGUGUGGUAUAUUUCAUGAGCAUAGUCCAUUAUACUAUGUCUCUAACAUGCAUUAACACUAAAAUUUUAUUGCCCAACUGUUAAUACCUUAGGAUUGACAUUAAUUUUGUAAAAUAAAUAAUGUAAUCAUCUCUGUUGUUUUAAUAUGUUGGGUUGAAGAAGUUCAACAUCUGGACCAACAUGUCAUGUACGAUGUCACGACAUCAGGNNNNNNNNNNNNNNNNNNNNNNNNNNNNNNNNNNNNNNNNNNNNNNNNNNNNNNNUUGUAGUGAUAGGAAUGGAAACUGGAGGUUUCUAUCUAGGAGUUCCUAGGUAUAGAUUGCAUUGGGUAGGGAUUAAGUGAAGAGUUGUAAACGGGGGAGUUUAACUCUGAAUUAAUACUGCUGAUAGUGGAUCUUCUUCCUGGCUUGGUAGCCCCCAGAUGUAGGUCAUGUUGGACUGAACUGGGUUAACAAUUUCCUGUGUUUGUUUUCCUUCUGCAUAUGUUAUAAUCCUGUAUUCCAUAACCAAACUUGUAUUUCAGUCUGCCUACCAAGAUAAUAACAGACCUGAUACAUAGCCUUCUGGUUGUAUGUCAAUCAGAAUGUCGUAACAUUCAUCAUUGACAGCUUAUACUGAAUAAUAGACAGGUUGAUUUCUAUGCUUCAGUUCAGUAUAUAUUUAAGUCUGGUUUUCAAGUGAAAACAGACCUGGCCAAAGGAUCAUUGUGAAGCUGUCAAACUGGAUGGCUAGAUAGUUGUUCAUGUAGGCUGAUACUGAACUAGAGACUGGUUGGUCGUUUACAGUACAUCAAAUUUAGCAUAGUCGGUUUCUCUAGAACAUAACAGAAUCAGUAGGAUGUAUAUGUUCUGACUGUCAAUCAGAAUGUUGUGACAUUCAUUCCUGACAGCAUGUGCUAAAGUGUAGGAUGAUUAGUUUUUUUGUUUCAGUAUUUUUCUCAGGCUAUUCUUUAGGAAUCCAACAGCUGAGCUAAAAUCCAGGAAACCAACUACUGCCCUACACUUAAUGAACCUAACAAAUAACCUAUUUGUUAGCAAUCUAAUAAGUGGUUAUUAGAUUAAUGUAUUCAACCUUUAAUUCAGGAAAUACAAGUAACAGACAAGCACACUGGAAUAAUGUAACAGAUGAACAAUAUUAAGACAUCGUGCAGAUAACAUGUGUAGGAAAACAACAGAAGUGAGUGCUAUGAUUGAUCUCUGCUGAGUUUGUAUACCAUAUGCACAGGACUAGGGGUUCCUUCCCUCUAGGAUGACAUAGAAAGAGAUGUAGUGACAUCUGUGAAAGAGUGAGUCAGUACAGGGCUUUUAAUGUGUUAACUAUCUUGCUGCAUUAGUUACAAUGUUGGAUCAGAUGUCAUGACUUGGAGUAGAACAUCUGAAUUCUGACUACGCCAGAAUUUCAAUUGGUAUCAGAGCAGGCAUCCUGUUCUAUUUCUGGAUGAGAUCCAUGGCUGAUACUUUCUGGUAUUUGGCAAGAAGUUAUGUUAGUACUGGUGUUGGAACCUGAAGAUGGUUCUGUGGUUUCCCUGAAUGGUCCCUUGAAGUAGGUGGAUGGACUAUUCAUGACAGGAACUGUGUGCACCUGCCUCUGGAGAUAGGUCCCUUGAAGUAGGUGGAUGGACUAUUCAUGACAGGAACUGUGUGCACCUGCCUCUGGAGAUUGGCAAUUGGCCUUUGUGUGGGACAGCUGUGCAAGUAUUGAAUCAUAUUCAAACUUGGUAUGGUCUUGGAGGCUGAUCUGGUGAAGUGCGUGUUCAUAGGUUGAGUUGUAUUAUAAUUUCCGCUGCAUAAUACCUGGCAAAACUCAAACUCUGAUGUAGUUUCCCCCCAUAUGGAUGAAAGGUUGUUGUAUUCGAGAUUUCAUCAUAUUCUACUGAAGAUGUCAAAGAUGCUUGAGUCUCAUCAAGUCCCCUCCUCUUAGUAAGAAUCACCUGAUCACUGAUUCUUGUACUCUCCUGGGUAGUGUAUAUGAAGACCUUGAAGUCUUUCAAGGAGGGUUUGCUUCAAGGAGGCUAAACUAAUGUUCUAUGUGAUGUUAGAACAUGUUGUUCAACAAGUAGGCAUCUACUGGUUGAAGAGCAGAUGUGUUUAGGUGUCAAACAAAGGGAUACUUUGGUUUGAAACCUACUCCUGACCUGGAAGAGGAGACAUCUGUGUGUGCUAAGUUGACAAGGGUAGGGUCAACUGUGUGUGUGCUCAAGAAGGUCACUUUUAGAAGUCUGAUCUCUAGAAGUGGAGCUGGUUGAGAUGUGACAUUGUGCAAUCCCCGCUGUGUGCCUUAUUCCUGUAGAUUGAUCAGGGUUGGAUAGUUGUUUCCUGAAGUACUAUGGCGUACUGGAAGACAAGUCCCCUGGAUGAUAGAAGUCAAUAAUAGGGUAACCUGACUGCUAUUCCAUUUAAGAGGAUUGGGACCAUGAAUCUUGUUAUUCAAACACCUCGCUCAGAAGUGGCAGUUCCUUCAAGGAGUGAGAAUAUGAAGAUUCAGAGGUUGGUUGAGGUAGUAUGCUCUGGCAAUGCAAAUCUACUAUUGACUGGUGUUGUUUUUCACUAGUACUUAUGGACAGCUGAAGUCUGAUUGGUGUGAUUGGAGUAUGUAUAGGUUUAACUCAUAGAGUUAGGUGCCACUGGUAGGGAUGGUGUAUUUCAUGUUGAGACAUGUAUGUACAAUGCAUGGAUAUUGGUGUGAAGUUUCCAUGAUUAUUUAUUUGAGGGGGAGUUUUAGUUAACCUCCUCACAUUUGGUCAGCCUAGGGUCUGGUUGGCUGUUGACUUGUGUCACAUGGGUUCUGGUGGUUGUGUGACACAUUUGCAAGGAAGAAUUCAUCUCUCUCAUUCCUAAGGGUGAAUUUAAUCUGAGAAGAUUUUCAAAACUGUUUAAGUGCUUGCAAGUAGAAGAUGUUGACACUAGAAGAGUAUUUUCAAAGUAGUCUUAUGGUGGAAGUAUCUGAAAGGAAUAUUGGGAAAGGAUUUAAGAUCAACGCCAACUUGUGCCAAGUACAAGUAUUUGAUUGAUUAUCCUUGGAGCUCAAGAUAACUGAUGUUCUUAAAAAUGUUGGAACAUCUCUUCUUCAAGACCUUGUGCAGAAUCACAGGAAGGAUAGUACAUUGGUUUAUGAUCUAUCUCUUUGGUGGCAACAAAAGCAUAUGAUCUCUAAAAAGGUUUCCUGGCAAGAAACAUGGUCAGCCUUGGUGUGUACAAGAUGAAGAAGACAUCAUAGUCUUGAUGGUGGUUACUUGGAUCAGUUUAUCUCUGAUCUAAGUAAGGAAGUGCAUUGGCUAAUGCACACUAUGAAGUUAAGAACAAGUGGCGGCAAUCUUAACAUCAUGGAAAUAGCCUUGCUGUAGGAAGAAGAAUCCUUGGUAUAGCUGAAGGGUUAGUUGCUAACUGGUCCUUCUGAAGAAUCUUGCACCAGAGUGUCUGAUGUCUUUGGAGAAGAAGCAGGAAUUCAUCAAGGUGUGAGCUUGGAUGACUUAACUGCAAACCUGCAGGAUGGAGGUUGUUUACUCAAACUUGGUUCCACAAUCAAGUCUAUGAGAACAUUGAACUCUUGUUCUGUGAAGGGAGGAAGUUCUUUCAAGUGGCAGAAGAAGGAGCUGAAUUCAACAGCUGGAUGUCAAAACACAAUGUUGUGACAUUUGGUUCAACAUCAGAUUCUUAGUUGGUGAAGUGGCACAUCAACUUGAGAUAGAAGGGUCUACAGGGUUGUAGAUUGGACACUUCAAAAGGCUUGAAGUUCAAAUCUCACUUGGAAGGUCAGAAUAUCUUUGGGAGAAGUCUGAUAAACUUGGAGAGGUCAAAAAGUGGCAUUUGACUUUCUCAUAUGAGGAUUCAUGAAGGAGGUAAUCAACCAGUGACAUUUGGUCUAUCUCAGAAGUGAGUUCGAAGAAUCAAGAUAAUCAACAUAUGGCAGCUGAUUAUUCUUGAGGAAAGUCUGAGACAAAUUACUUUUGAGCAGAAAAGUAGUAAGUUGAAGACAAAAGGAGGUGUUUUCUAUUCAUCUCUUGGAGCUUGUGGUAGGAGUUCUGAGCUAUCUAUGGAAGAUUAUCUCUUGUAAUGGGAUGAAAAUGUAUAUGUCCCAAUGUNNNNNNNNNNNNNNNNNNNNNNNNNNNNNNNNNNNNNNNNNNNNNNNNNNNNNNNNNNNNNNNNNNNNNNNNNNNNNNNNNNNNNNNNNNNNNNNNNNNNNNNNNNNNNNNNNNNNNNNNNNNNNNAAAGUCUGAGACAAAUACUCUUGAGCAGAAAAAGUAGUAAGAUUGAGGAAAAAAGGAGAUGUCUUAUCUAUUCAUCUCUUGGAGCUUGUCGGUAGCGAGCUUUCAAGCUAUCUAUGGAAGAUUUAUCUACUUAUACUGCGAUGACAAGUAUGGUCCGCAAUUUUGUCUGGCUCCUUUUGACUGAGCUGGUGACUCAGUGAUAUCUAAAAUUUAUCAGAUGUGUGCCCUGUUAUGGUGUGAGGAUGUCCUAACUAUGUUAGAACAUUUUGUGAAGAGGCUUUCUGUUCAUGGCUUAAAAGAGAGAUUGACACAGGUGUGGAUGUCGUUCAGCCAGAGGGUUGAACAGAGAGUUGCUUCUUGAAGACAUGAAGAUGCACUCUUAUGUUUUCCUUCAUCAAGUGUCUGGGUUCUCUUUGAAUCAGGAAGUAUGUGAAGGUCAACUUUGCGAUGUUGGUAUGCCCAUGUGUGAUCUCCAAGUUUCAAGAGGAGAGUGGCGUUGUAUGACAGCGGGGAGUCUUCUGUCCUUUGUGCUGUUAAUGUAGUAACCUCAUCUUGUGCGUCUAGGGGCCCGUCUCAGAUAACUGCAGUAUGGCACACCUGUGAGGAUGCAUGCGUAUAAGUCAAGGCUGAGUGAGCAGAAGAAUGUACUGACCUGAUAGUCUGACAUUGCCCUGCAUUGCCUUGUUAGUUCCUCUGAAUCUUAAAUCAUUAGGAAUUAUGGAU